GUUGUAUGGUUAAGUGACUAAGCGUACACGGUGGAUGCCUUGGCAGUCAGAGGCGAUGAAAGACGUAGUAACUUGCGAUAAGCCCAGAUUAGGUAGUAACAACCAUUUGAGUCUGGGAUUUCUGAAUGGGGAAACCCACGUGCAUAAGCACGUAUCCUUACCUGAAUACAUAGGGUAAGGAGGCGAACCGGGGGAACUGAAACAUCUAAGUACCCCGAGGAAAAGAAAUCAACCGAGAUUCCGAAAGUAGCGGCGAGCGAAAUUGGACUAGCCCUUAAGCUUUACACGCGUUAGACGAACGGUCUGGAAAGUCCGACGAUACAGGGUGAUAGUCCCGUAGUUGACGACGUGUGUUCAGUGAAAUCGAGUAGGGCGGGACACGUGAUAUCCUGUCUGAAUAUGGGGGGACCAUCCUCCAAGGCUAAAUACUACUGACUGACCGAUAGUGAACCAGUACCGUGAGGGAAAGGCGAAAAGAACCCCUGUGAGGGGAGUGAAAUAGAACCUGAAACCGUGUACGUACAAGCAGUAGGAGCAGGCUUUGUCCUGUGACUGCGUACCUUUUGUAUAAUGGGUCAGCGACUUAUAUUCAGUGGCAAGGUUAACCAUCUAGGGGAGCCGUAGGGAAACCGAGUCUUAACUGGGCGUUCAGUCUCUGGAUAUAGACCCGAAACCAGGUGAUCUAGCCAUGGGCAGGUUGAAGGUUGAGUAACAUCAACUGGAGGACCGAACCGACUAAUGUUGAAAAAUUAGCGGAUGACUUGUGGCUAGGGGUGAAAGGCCAAUCAAACCUGGAGAUAGCUGGUUCUCCCCGAAAGCUAUUUAGGUAGCGCCUCGGACGAAUACUACUGGGGGUAGAGCACUGUUAAGGCUAGGGGGUCAUCCCGACUUACCAACCCUUUGCAAACUCCGAAUACCAGUAAGUACUAUCCGGGAGACACACGGCGGGUGCUAACGUCCGUCGUGGAGAGGGAAACAACCCAGACCGCCAGCUAAGGUCCCAAAUUACUACUAAGUGGGAAACGAUGUGGGAAGGCUCAGACAGCCAGGAUGUUGGCUUAGAAGCAGCCAUCAUUUAAAGAAAGCGUAAUAGCUCACUGGUCGAGUCGGCCUGCGCGGAAGAUGUAACGGGGCUAAGUAGUAAACCGAAGCUGCGGCAAUGUGCUUUUGCACAUUGGGUAGGGGAGCGUUCUGUAAGCGGUUGAAGGUGUGUGGUAACGCAUGCUGGACGUAUCAGAAGUGCGAAUGCUGACAUGAGUAACGAUAAAGGGGGUGAAAAACCUCCUCGCCGGAAGACCAAGGGUUCCUGUCCAACGUUAAUCGGGGCAGGGUAAGUCGACCCCUAAGGCGAGGCCGAAAGGCGUAGUCGAUGGGAAACGGGUUAAUAUUCCCGUACUUCUUACAAUUGCGAUGGGGGGACGGAGAAGGCUAGGUGGGCCUGGCGACGGUUGUCCAGGUUCAAGUGCGUAGGCUUAAGAGUUAGGUAAAUCCGGCUCUUUUUAAGGCUGAGACACGACGUCGAGCACCUACGGGUGUGAAGUCAUUGAUGCCAUGCUUCCAGGAAAAGCCUCUAAGCUUCAGAUUGUAAGGAAUCGUACCCCAAACCGACACAGGUGGUCGGGUAGAGAAUACCAAGGCGCUUGAGAGAACUCGGGUGAAGGAACUAGGCAAAAUGGUACCGUAACUUCGGGAGAAGGUACGCUCUUGAUGGUGAAGUCCCUUGCGGAUGGAGCUGACGAGAGUCGCAGAUACCAGGUGGCUGCAACUGUUUAUUAAAAACACAGCACUGUGCAAAAUCGUAAGAUGACGUAUACGGUGUGACGCCUGCCCGGUGCCGGAAGGUUAAUUGAUGGGGUUAGACUUCGGUCGAAGCUCUUGAUCGAAGCCCCGGUAAACGGCGGCCGUAACUAUAACGGUCCUAAGGUAGCGAAAUUCCUUGUCGGGUAAGUUCCGACCUGCACGAAUGGCGUAAUGAUGGCCACGCUGUCUCCACCCGAGACUCAGUGAAAUUGAAAUCGCUGUGAAGAUGCAGUGUACCCGCGGCUAGACGGAAAGACCCCGUGAACCUUUACUACAGCUUGGCACUGAACAUUGACCCUACAUGUGUAGGAUAGGUGGGAGGCUUUGAAGCACGUACGCCAGUAUGUGUGGAGCCGUCCUUGAAAUACCACCCUUGUAGUGUUGAUGUUCUAACGUCGACCCCUUAUCGGGGUUGCGGACAGUGCCUGGUGGGUAGUUUGACUGGGGCGGUCUCCUCCCAAAGAGUAACGGAGGAGCACGAAGGUGGGCUAAUCACGGUUGGACAUCGUGAGGUUAGUGCAAUGGCAUAAGCCCGCUUGACUGCGAGAAUGACAAUUCGAGCAGGUGCGAAAGCAGGUCAUAGUGAUCCGGUGGUUCUGAAUGGAAGGGCCAUCGCUCAACGGAUAAAAGGUACUCCGGGGAUAACAGGCUGAUACCGCCCAAGAGUUCAUAUCGACGGCGGUGUUUGGCACCUCGAUGUCGGCUCAUCACAUCCUGGGGCUGAAGUCGGUCCCAAGGGUAUGGCUGUUCGCCAUUUAAAGUGGUACGCGAGCUGGGUUUAGAACGUCGUGAGACAGUUCGGUCCCUAUCUGCCGUGGGCGUUGGAAGAUUGAAGGGGGCUGCUCCUAGUACGAGAGGACCGGAGUGGACGAACCUCUGGUGUUCGGGUUGUGUCGCCAGACGCAUUGCCCGGUAGCUAAGUUCGGAAUCGAUAACCGCUGAAAGCAUCUAAGCGGGAAGCGAGCCCUGAGAUGAGUCUUCCCUGAUACUUUAAGUAUCCUAAAGGGUUGUCGGAGACUACGACGUUGAUAGGUCAGGUGUGUAAGUGCUGUGAGGCAUUGAGCUAACUGAUACUAAUUGCCCGUGAGGCUUAACCAUACAACACCCAAGGGGUUU
rnacentral:rRNA from 1 species